rnacentral:rRNA from 1 species
GUUUGAUCAUGGCUCAGAUUGAACGCUGGCGGCAGGCCUAACACAUNCAAGUCGAACGGUAACAUUUCUAGCUUGCUAGAAGAUGACGAGUGGCGGACGGGUGAGUAAUACUUAGGAAUAUGCCUUUGUGUGGGGGAUAACUAUUGGAAACGAUAGCUAAUACCGCAUAAUGUCUUCGGACCAAAGGGGGCUUCGGCUCCCGCGCAAAGAGUAGCCUAAGCGAGAUUAGCUUGUUGGUGAGGUAAAGGCUCACCAAGGCGACGAUCUCUAGCUGUUCUGAGAGGAAGAUCAGCCACACUGGAACUGAGACACGGUCCAGACUCCUACGGGAGGCAGCAGUGGGGAAUAUUGCACAAUGGGGGAAACCCUGAUGCAGCCAUGCCGCGUGUGUGAAGAAGGCCUUCGGGUUGUAAAGCACUUUCAGUUGUGAGGAAAGGUUAACGGUUAAUACCCGUUAGCUGUGACGUUAGCAACAGAAGAAGGACCGGCUAACUCCGUGCCAGCAGCCGCGGUAAUACGGAGGGUCCGAGCGUUAAUCGGAAUUACUGGGCGUAAAGCGCACGCAGGCGGUUUGUUAAGCUAGAUGUGAAAGCCCUGGGCUCAACCUGGGAAUUGCAUUUAGAACUGGCAGGCUAGAGUUUUGGAGAGGGGAGUGGAAUUCCAGGUGUAGCGGUGAAAUGCGUAGAUAUCUGGAGGAACAUNAGUGGCGAAGGCGACUCCCUGGUCAG